rnacentral:lncRNA from 1 species
GUUACGAGAACUGUCUUGUGUUGAGGCAGUUCGUAAUGCUUGGUGUGACCCUUUAGCUAUCAAUAAUGAGUUGGAGAAUCGCCUUAGCCGAUGCAGAUCAGCUAUGCGCAAAUGGGAACGACAACAUUUUGGGAUGGUUAACAAACAGAUUUCGAAUUGUUUUAAAUUGUAUUAAAUAUGAUGGAGUUAAAGAAGUUUAUUAUUCUUGAAAGUUAAUGAAAUUCCAUCUUUUACUUCAAA